AAAACAAAAAACAAAAACACACUGAUUCAGUUCAUCAGGGGAUUAGAGGAAAAACAUAAGGCCAACGGGACUGCAAGCCUGAGCAUCAGGUGAAAGAAGCAGCCAAAAGGGGGAAAAAAGAGAUGUGAGUCACCAGAUCUGCUAUCUCAUCAAAGCGAUAUGACGUAUAGUAGAAGGCAGGGAAGCAGAAAGCAAAGUAGAAAGAAACACUGAGGUGAUGAAGUUAUCAAAGCUCUGAACCCGCAAACCUUCUCUAAGCAUGACUGUUUUCUUAUGAAGCCACAUAAGGAUCAGGCCCUGCUUCUGACCAGGAUCAUUACAAAAGACAUGGGAAGGUGGAAGGAAAUUUUCUCCAGGGAAGAGUAAAAAUGGCACUGUACCAAACAGAAAGCCCACAGAGCUCCUCUGGACCAACCUCUGUUACACAGCUGGAGCUCUUUUCAGCUGCUCUGGAGAACUACUGGAGAACUACUGGAGAACUACUUUGAACUAUUUUUAGUGUUUUAUCACUUUUCCAUGAAAAAUCACUUAGACUGAAACAUAGCACUCAAAGAUAUGAUAUAAGAGUGUGAAGGAUUUCAUAAAAAUCCUUUAAAAAAAGAAAGAAAGAGAAAGAAAUAUAUUGUGCUUAAUUCUAGGUUAAAUAUACACAAAGAAAAACAAAUAGGCUUACCAGUUUGAACUGCUUUCCCUCCCUUAUGUUUGUGGAACUUAAACAAGCUUUUAUUUGAAACAUGGUA